rnacentral:lncRNA from 1 species
AUAUAUUCAUAACUGAAGAAGCGUGGCUCCCCAAUUUCUCCCUACCUUACACACACACUGAAAAUGCACAUCAGUGAAGAACAGGGGGAGACACACAUUCACACACAAAAAAAAAAAAAAAAGGUUUUAGAAGAAGUAGAAACCUCAGUGCGUUUCUAACACUCUGAGAGUGAGGAUUUGUUAUAUAUAUUUAUUUAAAGUUGUAGUUUUUUUUGCAUGUGACAACUAUGAUGUAUUGAUUUGACAAGUGAUUGUGUAUUUACUUUUUUACUUAAUCAGUGGAGAUAUCCCUUUGUUCAUGAAUACUUAAAUAAUAAAUAUAUAAAACAUAGCCGGUUACGGCUUUUUUUCGGAAGAGAUCAAAACAAGGAUCAUUAAUUGUGGAUGAGAUCAUACAAAGACGUCGUUUUAUAUUUAUAUAUAUAUAUAUGUAGUAUAUAUUUAGUAACACAUUUUAAAUAAACUACUUCAUUCAUAGUGUGUUAGUUGAUUGGUUUUUUCUUCAAAGACUAAAAUGAAAAGAGCCUCUGAGCCUUGCCAUCAUAUUCAUCAUUUUUGGAGUAGGAACAGUCUGAAUAACACUGGAAUCAUGAAAAAGAAGAAAAAGAAAACCUGUUAGGGAUUUAAAAAUACAACAAAAAGACAUUAUUCUUACUCAACAAACUGACCAACCCCUAUCCCCCUCAUAAAAAAAAUAAACAAAUUCGGAAAUUUAGCUCUUAACAUAA